AUUGAACGCUGGCGGCAUGCUUUACACAUGCAAGUCGAACGGUAACAGCGCUUCGGUGGCUGACGAGUGGCGAACGGGUGAGUAAUACAUCGGAACGUGCCUAGUAGUGGGGGAUAACUACUCGAAAGAGUAGCUAAUACCGCAUGAGAUCUAAGGAUGAAAGCAGGGGACCUUCGGGCCUUGCGCUACUAGAGCGGCUGAUGGCAGAUUAGGUAGUUGGUGGGAUAAAAGCUUACCAAGCCGACGAUCUGUAGCUGGUCUGAGAGGACGACCAGCCACACUGGGACUGAGACACGGCCCAGACUCCUACGGGAGGCAGCAGUGGGGAAUUUUGGACAAUGGGCGCAAGCCUGAUCCAGCAAUGCCGCGUGCAGGAUGAAGGCCUUCGGGUUGUAAACUGCUUUUGUACGGAACGAAAAGCCCUCUUCUAAUACAGGAGGGUCAUGACGGUACCGUAAGAAUAAGCACCGGCUAACUACGUG
rnacentral:rRNA from 1 species